UCACGAGCAUCAUCACGGAAUCCCCGUCACAGAUUACUUCUCGUGACGGCGCGCGCAAAACAGUGUCACUGAAAAUGGGACCUUCGGUGACGUUUUAUAGAACGUCAACAGCUUGCUAUUUCUAUGACGGUGGAGUGAUGUCACAAGUUAGGAGCAAAGAUGCCAUGUUGUACAAUAUUCAAUGAUGGAGCAACGUUACUGACUUUAUGCCACAUCAACACCCGCACAGAUUACCCCACUACGAGCAUCACUACUUUCAUUAUUGAUGAAGAUGACAUCAUCAAAAUACAUUUACUAUAUUUUGAAUAACUUGCUAUGAAUUAUCAGAUCCACUAUAUUGCAAAUGCAUUUCAAUAGUAAGUAUUUAAUUCACAUCACAUCACAUUAUAUAAAUAAACUGUGAGCCAAAUCACAUUAUGAAACGAAAGACAAAUCAUAUCAUAUAUUCAAUCUCUUAGGCAAAUCAUCCUCUAAAUAGAAAUGACAAUAAAAAAUAACACCGAAUCAAGUUUGACACGACAAUACACAAGACAAUGGAAUCUUGCUGAGUUGCUUGAGCCCUCAAUAGAAAACCAAUCAGGUUAACUGUAUCAUGUGUUGCUUCUUUUCACAUGCUUCAUUCUUCUUUUGUUGGCUCUUCUUCACCGCUUCCAAUUCUUCUUGAUGCUUCCUUUGCAUCUCUUCAAGUGCUCUGUCUUGUGCUUCAAAUCUCACAGCUAACUCCCCCAAUGCCUAUAAACUGAGGAAACACAACAGCGUGUUGCAUCUUAAUGCGAUGAAAACAUACAAGAUAAAAACGUAUAACAGUACCACUAAGAAGCAUAUAAUCUAUCAGAUUACGAAUCUGAGUACAUUAUUAACUAGAUUUGCGGGUAUGCAGAUGGGCCAAUAAUACGGUAUAUUAGUUUGGCAAAACAAGAAGACACAAACUUGUAUAAAAAUUGUCGGUCAAAAAAAUUUACAUGGAUCCCUGCUGCACUUUUAACUAGUGUGCUACUUAAAGUUCUAAGUAGCAUGUGAAUGACUAGUGAGUCCAGUAGGGCGGCAUAUGACAAUGAACUAUAGUAAUCUACUGAACAUAUUUCAUAAUUAGGCCCCGUUUGAUAACAAAGUAUUAUAAAAACUGAAGUAUUGCAAACUACAGUAAUUUAGUUCGUAGAUACACAAUACCACAGUUUUGCCAUAACAGAGUAUUUGAAAGUAUUUAGAAUAUUGUUCACCUGUUUGGCAAGAACCGUUUCAAGCAGUUCCGAACGGUGCGUUGAGCUAGCUAGACACAUCUAAACUGAUUAACGGCCAUGCACUUAGCACAGAUGUAUGAUCAUGCACGAACUGAAUGGCCAAGCUAAACACGCCAUGCACAAUCUCGGUGUUACACCUACCAGAGCAAAUUGGAUUAGGAGGAGGCAGUCAACGGCGGAGCUGCACGUUGCCCCGAGCAGCUUGGUUUUCUUUUCGCGUCUCGGAUCACCAAGAGGUGUGCGUGGAGGCAUGACCUAAAGCUCCGCAGGACGGUGGUGUCGGCAACGGAUCAUGCGGCGAAGCUGCUCGUGAACUGAAAAAACUUGGCUUUCAUCCGCGUUGCCCGGAGCAGCUUGCUCCACCCCAUCAACCAUGGCAGUUCGUACUGCACUGUACUGCCGUUCCUUGAUCUGUCCAUGGCCGCCCGAUCAAGACGACCUCCACAGACAAUGGGGCUGCCGGCGGCGGCUUGGGAGCGACCGAAGAUAACGAUGAGUUUGUUCUUUCGCGUGCUCAGUUUAAAAAAAGAGAGGCCUGAGGUUCUUUUUUUAAACAGAGAAAAUACCAUAGUAUUGGAAAAACUGCAGUAUUAAUAUCUUAGUUUUUAGGUCUUGUCAAACAGCUCAAAGUAAUUAAAACCAUGGUAAUCCUAAAAACUGUAGUAUUUUCAGAAUACUUAGAAAAUACAGAGCUAUCAAACAGGGCCUUAGUUGCAUAAGUAUAGUUGUUUGACGCUUUGGUUACUACAAAAGUUUAGAUCAGCGCAUCACUACAAAAACAGAUCGGUAAUGUACUAAAAAAUCGCAGAUCAAAACAGAAAAAUGUUUCUUUAGUAAGAAGUGACAGCCAUUCAUCCAUUCAAUGUACUGAACAAUCUCAGAAUGAUGCAAUAUCUGGAGGUCAUCACCCAACCACUACAUGCCACAUUAUUCCUGUUAACUGUAUGUUUUCUCAUCUCUGAAUUGAUUUAGACAUGCUAUGAAUUUGGCCGUUCAUCACCUUAUGUACAACUACGUGCCAUAAGCAACUAGUACUAGUACUAUCUACACUAUUUUAAUCAGUUGUGUGCUUACUCACCUUCCCCAACAGCUACAGCUAAUUGUGUACGUGCACUGGAGUUGUACGCUGCUUACUCAAUCUAAAUAUAACAAAUAAAAAUACAAGUUAUGCACAAAGGAAGGACACGAUGAGCUUAAAUGGUAGGCAUACACAACCAGGUAAGGAAUUGUCAAGUACUGGACUGUAAGAAAACAGAAAGUGGAGAAGUUAGUAAAAAGUUUAAGCUUCAGACUUUACCAACAUAGCAAGGUCGAUAAGAUUAUCUUGAUAUUGCAAACCCAGUCCUGCUACCUAUGGUGAGCAGUCGAUUAAUGCGCCUGCGUUAUAGGGGAAUAAAACAGAAGAGACAGAGUAUACUGACAAGUGUUCACAUGGAGAAAAAAUAUUACAGAAUAACAUAAUCAUUUUCUGUUCCACCGAGCAGUAUUAGCAUCUGAAUGAACCUUUUAGUAUAUAGAUUUUUCAGCAGCUAGUAACUAUGGUAUGGCCCAUGAUACAAGCCCUCGGCUAUUCCUAGUAUAGUUGCGCUGUUAAUACUCUGAACGUAGAGUCUAGUCAUAUAUUAGAUGUUCUUGAGCAUGCUGGAGAUUGCAUAAUAUUGCAGCUUAAAGGGGAAACUUGAGUUGAAAUUAUUCAUUGUAGAAAUUCAGAGACAGUUCGGAACAUAGAAGUAUGAACCAUACCUUUGAUAAGAGCAAAGGACAUUGAUCUUACUCCUGAUCUAGAUGAACUGCAACUAGGAAAAGGAGAUCUCAGAUAGGUGGUUAGAAGAGCCAAAUUCCAGAUCACAAAUCCUACAUCAGGAAAUUAUGGAAGAAAAAGGAACCAGCAAAAUAUUACCCUCGAGUAGUUGAAGGGGAGCAGAUCUAAUGGUGCUGUAGCCGGGUUCCUUGAGAGUUUCCAACCCAUCACCUAGCCUAUCUGCAUCAUCGGGUUGCCUCUCCCAAACCUGGUG
rnacentral:lncRNA from 1 species